rnacentral:rRNA from 1 species
CCAGACUCCUACGGGAGGCAGCAGUGAGGAAUAUUGGUCAAUGGGCGAGAGCCUGAACCAGCCAAGUCGCGUGAGGGAAGACGGUCCUAUGGAUUGUAAACCUCUUUUGCCGGGGAGCAAAAAGCGGUACGUGUACCGCAUCGAGAGUACCCGGAGAAAAAGCAUCGGCUAACUCCGUGCCAGCAGCCGCGGUAAUACGGAGGAUGCGAGCGUUAUCCGGAUUUAUUGGGUUUAAAGGGUGCGUAGGCGGAAUGCCAAGUCAGCGGUCAAAUCGCGGGGCUCAACCCCGCCCAGCCGUCGGAACUGCCGGGCUAGAGUGGGCGAGAAGUGCGCGGAAUGCGUGGUGUAGCGGUGAAAUGCAUAGAUAUCACGCAGAACUCCGAUUGCGAAGGCAACAUACCGGCGCCCAACUGACGCUGAAGCACGAAAGCGUGGGUAUCGAACAGGAUUAGAUACCCCGGUAA